GACGAACGCUGGCGGCGUGCUUAACACAUGCAAGUCGAACGGAAAGGCCCUGCUUUUGUGGGGUGCUCGAGUGGCGAACGGGUGAGUAGCACGUGAGUAACCUGCCCUUGACUUUGGGAUAACUUCAGGAAACUGGGGCUAAUACCGGAUAGGAGCUCCUGCUGCAUGGUGGGGGUUGGAAGGUUUCGGCGGUUGGGGAUGGACUCGCGGCUUAUCAGCUUGUUGGUGGGGUAGUGGCUUACCAAGGCUUUGACGGGUAGCCGGCCUGAGAGGGUGACCGGCCAGAUUGGGACUGAGAUACGGCCCAGACUCCUACGGGAGGCAGCAGUGGGGAAUAUUGCACAAUGGGCGGAAGCCUGAUGCAGCAACGCCGCGUGCGGGAUGACGGCCUUCGGGUUGUAAACCGCUUUCGCCUGUGACGAAGCGUGAGUGACGGUAAUGGGUAAAGAAGCACCGGCUAACUACGUG
rnacentral:rRNA from 1 species